UCAUGACAUGGAUGAAGAGGCGCAUGAUAGCC
rnacentral:sRNA from 1 species